rnacentral:rRNA from 1 species
UACGAAGGGUGCAAGCGUUGCUCGGAAUCACUGGGCGUAAAGCGCACGUAGGCGGCUUCUUAAGUCAGGGGUGAAAUCCUGGAGCUCAACUCCAGAACUGCCUUUGAUACUGAGAAGCUUGAGUCCGGGAGAGGUGAGUGGAACUGCGAGUGUAGAGGUGAAAUUCGUAGAUAUUCGCAAGAACACCAGUGGCGAAGGCGGCUCACUGGCCCGGUACUGACGCUGAGGUGCGAAAGCGUGGGGAGCAAACAGG